GAUGAACGCUAGCGGCAGGCUUAAUACAUGCAAGUCGAGGGGCAGCAUGGUGUAGCAAUACACUGAUGGCGACCGGCAAACGGGUGCGGAACACGUACAGAACCUUCCUUCGAGCGGGGAAUAGCCCAGAGAAAUUUGGAUUAAUACCCCAUAGUAUAUUGGAGUGGCAUCACUUUGAUAUUAAAGAUUUAUCACUUGAAGAUGGCUGUGCGGAUGAUUAGGUAGUUGGCGGGGUAACGGCCCACCAAGCCUACGAUCAGUAACUGGUGUGAGAGCGCGACCAGUCAGACGGGCACGGAGACACGGGCACGACUCCUACGGGAGGCAGCGGUAAGGAAUAUUGGUGAAUGGACGAAAGUCUGAACCAGCCAUGCCGCGUGGAGGAUGAAGGUCCUCUGGAUUGUAAACUUCUUUUAUAUGGGACGAAAAAAGGCUUUUCUAAGGCGUCUGACGGUACCAUAUGAAUAAGCACCGGCUAACUCCGUGACAGCAGCCGCCGUAACAC
rnacentral:rRNA from 1 species